CAGUCGCCGCGGUAAUACGUAUGUCACAAGCGUUAUCCGGAUUUAUUGGGCGUAAAGCGCGUCUAGGUGGUUAUGUAAGUCUGAUGUGAAAAUGCAGGGCUCAACUCUGUAUUGCGUUGGAAACUGUGUAACUAGAGUACUGGAGAGGUAAGCGGAACUACAAGUGUAGAGGUGAAAUUCGUAGAUAUUUGUAGGAAUGCCGAUGGGGAAGCCAGCUUACUGGACAGAUACUGACGCUAAAGCGCGAAAGCGUGGGUAGCAAACAGGAUUAGAUACCCCCGUAGUCCCUGUCUCUUAUACA
rnacentral:rRNA from 1 species